CAGGCAUGCCAAACAGAGCCAGAAUGCCGAGGAAACCUGAUCAUCCUCCUGUCAACAACAAACGGGUCUGAGGCAUCAACUCAAGUUUCUCACACCGAACAAUGUGACAAGGUCACUGGGACUGAUGGAAGCUGGAAGAGGAAGUGUGAAUUCUUUGGAUUUGAGACACUUAAGCAAAAGGAGACUGCUUUGCGAGAUAUAUGCGGAGUCACCAUACAGGUCUUUAGUCUUUUGCUCAAUGUUCUGCCACGGCCCAGCUACCGAAGCACAGACAUGACCCGUGAGGACAAGCUUUGUCUUUUCUUGGCCAAGCUUAAGCUUGGGAUAAGCUUCAGUGCUUUAGCUGUGAUUUUCGGAGUGGCUGCAUCAACUGCAUCCAGUUCAUU
rnacentral:lncRNA from 1 species